CCUACGGGAGGCAGCAGUGAGGAAUAUUGGUCAAUGGGCGGAAGCCUGAACCAGCCAAGCAGCGUGCAGGAUGACGGCCCUACGGGUUGUAAACUGCUUUUAUACGGGAAUAACGCGCCUUACGUGUAGGGCUUUGCAUGUACCGUAUGAAUAAGGACCGGCUAAUUCCGCGCCAGCAGCGGCGGUAAUACGGAAGGUCCGGGCGUUAUCCGGAUUUAUUGGGGUUAAUGGGUGAGUAGGGGGAUUUUUAAGUCAGCGGUAAAAUGUCCGGGCUCAACUCGGGACGGCCGUUGAGACUGGGGAUCUUGAGUGGGCGAGAGGUAUGCGGAAUGCGUGGUGUAGCGGUGAAAUGCGUAGAUAUCACGCAGAACUCCGAUUGCGAAGGCAGCAUACCGGCGCCCAACUGACGCUGAUGCUCGAAAGCGCGGGUAUCGAACAGGAUUAGAUACCCCUGUAGUC
rnacentral:rRNA from 1 species